rnacentral:rRNA from 1 species
UACGGAAGGCAGCAGUGGGGAAUAUUGCACAAUGGGCGAAAGCCUGAUGCAGCUAUGCCGCGUGUAUGAAGAAGGCCUUCGGGUUGUAAAGUACUUUCAGUCGUGAGGAAGGUGUUAAGGUUAAUAACCUUAGCAAUUGACGUUAGCGACAGAAGAAGCACCGGCUAACUCCGUGCCAGCAGCCGCGGUAAUACGGAGGGUGCGAGCGUUAAUCGGAAUUACUGGGCGUAAAGGGCACGCAGGCGGUUAAUUAAGUUGGAUGUGAAAUCCCCGGGCUUAACCUGGGAAUGGCAUUCAAGACUGGUUAGCUAGAGUCUUGUAGAGGGGGUAGAAUUCCAUGUGUAGCGGUGAAAUGCGUAGAGAUGUGGAGGAAUACCGGUGGCGAAGGCGGCCCCUGGACAAAGACUGACGCUCAUGUGCGAAAGCGUGGGGAGCAAACAGGGAUUAGAUAC